rnacentral:rRNA from 1 species
UUCGUAGGUGAACCUGCGGAAGGAUCAUUGCCGUC